UCACUGCCUCAUUCAUUUCUAGGCACGCAUGCGCUUCCAUGUACCACGGUUCUGGUGCUGCGGGGAUGGCAGGGAGCAAGAGGCACAGGUCUGUCCUCCAGCUCUGUCAUCGAGUGGCUCAGAUGGAAAAUAUGCUCUUUCCUGCCAAAACCCACAAGCCAGAGCAGCGGUAGCCAGAGCCAGCAGGGCUGCUGGGAGAAUCCUGCCUUUGGAAGGACGUGGGACCCAGUGUCGUGUCUGGACCCAUAAUGUUUGACUCUGG